UACGUAGGGUGCGAGCGUUAAUCGGAAUUACUGGGCGUAAAGCGUGCGCAGGCGGCUUUGCAAGACAGAUGUGAAAUCCCCGGGCUCAACCUGGGAACUGCAUUUGUGACCGCAAGGCUAGAGUACGGCAGAGGGGGAUGGAAUUCCGCGUGUAGCAGUGAAAUGCGUAGAUAUGCGGAGGAACACCAAUGGCGAAGGCAAUCCCCUGGGCCUGUACUGACGCUCAUGCACGAAAGCGUGGGGAGCAAACAGG
rnacentral:rRNA from 1 species